UACGGGGGGGGCAAGCGUUGUUCGGAAUUACUGGGCGUAAAGGGCGCGUAGGCGGCCUUCUAAGUCGGACGUGAAAUCCCUCGGCUUAACCGAGGAACUGCGUCCGAUACUGAAAGGCUUGAAUCCGGGAGAGGGAUGUGGAAUUCCAGGUGUAGCGGUGAAAUGCGUAGAUAUCGGGAAGAACACCCGUGGCGAAGGCGGCUCUCUGGAACGCAACUGACGCUGAGACGCGAAAGCGUGGGGAGCAAACAGG
rnacentral:rRNA from 1 species